UCACCCCACUGCACUCCAGCCUGGGCGACAGAGCAAGACUGACUCAAUUUAAAAAAAAAAAGAUAAAAAUGGUGCAUCUCUAUAGGGCGUUUACCAUGCCUGGAGCUUGUGGGACUGGAAGUUGCUCUGAUACGCAGCCUGGUCUACAGGAAGAAUUCUAUGUAUAUUUGCUGAAGAGACAAAGAAGGAUGUGGAUGAAUUGGAUGUGGAGAAUGAGAGGAAAGAAAAUGUCAAGGAUGGCUCUAAUUUCUGGCUUAUGCAACUGAGUGGUGCCAUUGAGAGAGACUCUCUCUCUUGCCUUCUUGGUUGGCACACUGGGGAGAAGCGAGCUGCAGCGUUGGAGAGGCCCAUGUGGCAAGGGACUGAGAGCAGCCUCUGGCCAACAGCCGGUAAGCAACCAGUGAGCAACCGAGGCCCUCAGUCCCACAGCAUGUGAGGAACUGAGUCCUGCCAAUGAUCAUGUGAUACUGAAGGAGGGUCUUUCUUUAGCUGAUCCUACAGAUGAGAAUCUAGCCCUUGUGCUGCCUCAUGAGAGACCCUGGAGCAGAGGCCCCAGCUGAGCUAUGCCUGGAUUCCUACCCACAGAAACUGGAAGACAAUAAAAGUGUCGUUUAUGUUUUUUUAUUCUGGUAAAAAUCAUAUAACAUGAAAUUUUUCCAUUCUAACCAUUAAAAACAUGUCUUUUUGUGUGUGUGAGACAGGGUUUCGUUCUGUCACCCAGGCUAGAGUGCAGUGGUGCAAUC
rnacentral:lncRNA from 1 species